rnacentral:rRNA from 1 species
UACGAAGAGUGCAAGCGUUACUCGGAAUUAUCUGGGGCGUAAAGCGUGCGUAGGCGGUUUGUUAAGUCCGUGAUGUGAAAUCCCCCGGGCCUCAACCUGGGGACGUGCAUUGGAAACUGGCAAUCUAGAGUACGGUAGAGGGUGGUGGAAUUCCCGGUGUAGCAGUGAAAUGCGUAGAGAUCGGGAGGAACAGCUCGUGGCGAAGGCGGCCACCUGGACCAGUACUGACGCUGAGGCACGAAAGCGUGGGGAGCAAACAGG